GCUAAGUCGGUGCCGGCGGCGGGGGUAAUACGGGUGGGGCGAUGGUUAUCCGGAAUCAUUGGGUUUAAAGGGUCCGUAGGCGGUCUUAUAAGGCAGUGGUGAAAUCUCCUAGCGAAACUAGGAAACUGCCAUUGAUACUGUAGGACUUGAAUUUUUGUGAAGUAACUAGAAUAUGUAGUGUAGCGGUGAAAUGCUUAGAUAUUACAUGGAAUACCAAUUGCGAAGGCAGGUUACUAACAAACGAUUGACGCUGAUGGACGAAAGCGUGGGGAGCGAACAGGAUUAGAUAGCCUAGUAGUC
rnacentral:rRNA from 1 species